rnacentral:rRNA from 1 species
AGUGAACGCUGGCGGUAGGCCUAACACAUGCAAGUCGAACGGCAGCACAGUAAGAGCUUGCUCUUACGGGUGGCGAGUGGCGGACGGGUGAGGAAUACAUCGGAAUCUACUUUUUCGUGGGGGAUAACGUAGGGAAACUUACGCUAAUACCGCAUACGACCUACGGGUGAAAGCAGGGGAUCUUCGUACCUUGCGCGAUUGAAUGAGCCGAUGUCGGAUUAUCUAGUUGGCGGGGUAAAGGCCCACCAAGGCGACGAUCCGUAGCUGGUCUGAGAGGAUGAUCAGCCACACUGGAACUGAGACACGGUCCAGAAUCCUACGGGAGGCAGAAGUGGGGAAUAUUGGACAAUGGGCGCAAGCCUGAUCCAGCCAUACCGCGUGGGUGAAGAAGGCCUUCGGGUUGUAAAGCCCUUUUGUUGGGAAAGAAAAGCAGAAGGUUAAUACCCCGCUGUUCUGACGGUACCCAAAGAAUAAGCACCGGCUAACUUCGUG